AGUGAACGCUGGCGGUAGGCCUAACACAUGCAAGUCGAACGGCAGCACAGUAAGAGCUUGCUCUUACGGGUGGCGAGUGGCGGACGGGUGAGGAAUACAUCGGAAUCUACUUUUUCGUGGGGGAUAACGUAGGGAAACUUACGCUAAUACCGCAUACGACCUACGGGUGAAAGCAGUGGAUCUUCGGACCUUGCGCGAUUGAAUGAGCCGAUGUUGGAUUAGCUAGUUGGCGGGGUAAAGGCCCACCAAGGCGACGAUCCGUAGCUGGUCUGAGAGGAUGAUCAGCCCCACUGGAACGGAGACACCGUCCAGACUCCUACGGGACGCAGCAGUGGGGAAUAUUGGACAAUGGGCGCAAGCCUGAUCCAGCCAUACCGCGUGGGUGAAGAAGGCCUUCGGGUUGUAAAGCCCUUUUGUUGGGAAAGAAAAGCAGCAGGUUAAUACCCCGCUGUUCUGACGGUACCCAAAGAAUAAGCACCGGCUAACUUCGUG
rnacentral:rRNA from 1 species